rnacentral:misc_RNA from 1 species
AAGCCAGACACGCAUCAAUAUCUCUCCUCCUCUCCCGUAUUGGUGCUCGCUCUGGAGCUUAUCUCCCACCGCCGAUCGCUGAUCUUCCUGGCCGUGCCGCUCAACGUGUGGAGAAAAAAAAAUCCCACCGCCCCAGCCAGGUCUUCUUCCCCCUGCGCGCUUAUCUUCAGCCGCCGUUCAGUGUUCGUGGGACAGAAAAAUCUGGCCGUCGUUCUUCACGCGCAGCUCCAUCGUGCUCCAUUUUCUCUGGCCGCUACUCUGGCCAGCGUUCUCUGCUUGCUUCAGCUCCAGCGCCCAGCCUCAGCUCGCGCCCAAGCUCCUGCGCGUCUCUCAGCCCUGCGCGCGAGCUCAGCAUCUCCCUGCGCACCACGACAUCGCCUCUCCAUGACCGCGGUCUCCUCCAGCUCACCGGAGCUCUCUGUCGCGCCUGCUGCUUUCCCGGCCAUGGUAGUCGCUGCUCCAGCCCAUGGCCGAGCUCGCCCUAGCGCCGUCCCUCUGUUUCUUUCUGCCGCGAGCAGCUCCCUGGUGCUCGGACCCAGCUCCGCGCGCUUCCUGCUCCCAUGGCCAGCGGUGCUCUAGCCCCUGUGUCGCGCGUCUGAGUCGCCCUCCAGCGCCGCGCCAGACUCCAGCCAACCCUGCUCCUCUUUCUCCCUGCCGUGCGUUUGCCAGCUCGGAUUUUGCCAGCCGCCAUUCUCUAACCCAUGUGUCGGUCGGUGUCGUGGAGUUUUUGUUUGAUCAACUCGUCGUCGCGUCGUUUGCCGUCGAGUCGUCAAACACGUCAUCCUUUGCUCAAACCCCACCUCACCAGCUCGCUCCCGACGUCAGCUGAAAGCCGUUGUCGUUCCGCGCGUCAGCAAGAAAUCUCAAGAAUCGGGUGAAGACGGAAUUAGCAGCGCGAUAUUCCCAAGCGCUCGACAAAUUGCCUGGAUCGGAAAAUCGCUACCGAUCUCGCGGAUUCGUGUCAGCUGUUGAAACGGUCAUAGUUUUCUGCUGCUGAUGAUGGUGUUACGUGCCGGUGGGCUCGACCUUCUUAUUAGUCUAAGUAGCCCUUCUAUACUUCUUACUGAGGAUGGUCACUUGAGCUAGCAUAUAUUUCAAACUUAUACUUUUGUAAUCACUCCGAU